rnacentral:rRNA from 1 species
GUCCUUCGGGACCGAGCGGCGGACGGGUUAGUAACGCGUGGGAACAUACCCUUUGGUACGGAAUAGCCUCUGGAAACGGAGAGUAAUACCGUAUGUGCCCUUCGGGGGAAAGAUUUAUCGCCAAAGGAUUGGCCCGCGUUAGAUUAGAUAGUUGGUGGGGUAAUGGCCUACCAAGUCUACGAUCUAUAGCUGGUUUUAGAGGAUGAUCAGCAACACUGGGACUGAGACACGGCCCAGACUCCUACGGGAGGCAGCAGUGGGGAAUCUUAGACAAUGGGCGCAAGCCUGAUCUAGCCAUGCCGCGUGUGUGAUGAAGGCCUUAGGGUCGUAAAGCACUUUCGCCAGGGAUGAUAAUGACAGUACCUGGUAAAGAAACCCCGGCUAACUCCGUGCCAGCAGCCGCGGUAAUACGGAGGGGGUUAGCGUUGUUCGGAAUUACUGGGCGUAAAGCGUACGUAGGCGGAUCAGAAAGUAUGGGGUGAAAUCCCAGGGCUCAACCCUGGAACUGCCUCAUAAACUCCUGGUCUUGAGUUCGAGAGAGGUGAGUGGAAUUCCGAGUGUAGAGGUGAAAUUCGUAGAUAUUCGGAGGAACACCAGUGGCGAAGGCGGCUCACUGGCUCGAUACUGACGCUGAGGUACGAAAGUGUGGGGAGCAAACAGGAUUAGAUACCCUGGUAGUCCACACCGUAAACGAUG